AUGACCUCGGAUCUGGGUAGUGGAUACCCUGGACAACGCUAGAGCGGUAACAGCUCGUUA
rnacentral:rRNA from 1 species